CCCGGGCCUUGUACACACCGCCCGUCACACCACGAAAGUUGGUAACACCCGAAGCCAGUGGGGCCCAACCGCAAGGAGGGAGCUGUCGAAGGUGGGACCAGCGAUUGGGGUG
rnacentral:rRNA from 1 species